CAAAGGAGCAGAAUUACUCUAAGUGAAUUAACAGACUUGCUAUAAUUUGCAAAAAGAAAUGGCAGUAAAGAGAAGUUAGAGUUAAAAUUACCAGUUAAGUAGAGGUGCAAACUAGUGGUAGAUCCCUAAUUUAGAAAAGUCUGUUUUACAGAUUAAAUCUUCUAAGAUCCCAGUCUGAGUGAAGUAAGAGUAUUGUCCAGACAUGCCACCUCCUCCUCUUCUUCGGGGAGGGGCUCUGGAUGCAUUCUAUAGUUGAAGUUGUUAGUCCCUCCCCCUCAGUUAAGGAAGUCAGCAUAUUAUGCCACCUCUACAACAUAUACAAUAAAAGUCGAAGAUCAUACAUGGCCAGGCUGGACAAGGCUGAAGAAUGCUUUCGGAUAAACUGACAAAGAUCAUUCGGUUCCAGAAAACAAAACAAUUCUGGCAGCUUCAACAAUCAACAGUCACAAAACGUACGGCUAAAACCCAGUCUAUUUUCAAGAUUGCCAUUUCCUCGAAGAAAGGAGAUAAAGUAGAAGGAAAAAGGAAGAUCAAAUGCCCACAGAACACUUGUACCCGAAACAAGCAGACCCUCAAGAUUUCAAUGAGGAAAAACAGUACCUUAUAAGUAAUUGGUCUUCUCUACACACAGCUGGUCCCAGAGUCGACUCGUUUAACUGUCUACUGCCUUCACUUUAAAGUUAACUCUGUUGGCAAGAAAGU
rnacentral:lncRNA from 1 species